GAGUGAUCAAGUGUCUUAAGGGCAUUCGGUGGAUGCCUUGGCGACAAGAGGCGAUGAAAGACGUGAUACGCUGCGAUAAGCCAUGGGGAGCUGCGAAUAAGCUUUGAUCCGUGGAUUUCUGAAUGGGGCAACCCACUCCGUAUGGAGUACCCUUUAAUGGGAGCAAACCCGGGGAACUGAAACAUCUAAGUACCCGGAGGAAAGGACAUCAACCGAGACUCCGCUAGUAGUGGCGAGCGAACGCGGACCAGGCCAGUGCCUCAAUUGAAUUAACCGGAACCGUCUGGAAAGUCGGGCCUUAGUGGGUGAUAGCCCCGUACGGGUGUUGUGAGAUUGAGGACUUGAGUAGGGCGGGACACGUGAAAUCCUGUCUGAACAUGGGGGGACCACCCUCCAAGCCUAAGUA
rnacentral:rRNA from 1 species